rnacentral:rRNA from 1 species
GAGUCUGAAAAGGGCGAAGAGUUGGUGUUCGUAGACCCGAAACUGUAGUGAUCUACCCAUGAUCAGGUUGAAGCACGGGUAAAAUCGUGUGGAGGACCGAACCGGUGAGUGUUGAAAAACUUUCGGAUGAAUCGUGGGUAGCGGUGAAAUUCCAAUCGAACGCAGAGAUAGCUGGUUCUCCUCGAAAUAGCUUUAGGGCUAGCCUGUGCAGUAAGCAUAGGCGGUAGAGCACUGAUCGGGAUAGGGACUGUAAUGGUUACCGAACCCUGUCAAACUACGAAUGGUUAUGCUGCAGAGCCUGGGAGUCAGACUACGAGAGAUAAGUCCCGUUGUCAAAAGGGAAACAGCCCAGACCAUCAGCUAAGGUCCCCAAUGCCAUACUAAGUGGAAAAGGAUGUGGGGUCUCAUAAACAACCAGGAUGUUGGCUCAGAAGCAGCCACCAUUUAAAGAGUGCGUAAUAGCUCACUGGUCGAGAGGCCCUGCGCCGAAGAUUCCCGGGGCUAAAGUAUGGAACCGAAGCUAUGGAUGCAUGCUUAGGCAUGCGUGGUAGAGGAGCGUUCCCAUCGGGUUGAAGUCGUCCUGGAAGGGACGGUGGACUGGUGGGAAGUGAGAAUGUUGGCAUGAGUAGCGAAAAGAAUGGUGAGAAUCCAUUCCACCGAAAGCAUAAGGAUUCCUGAGCAACGAUCGUCGUCUCAGGGUAAGUCGGGACCUAAUCCGAGGCAAAGAGCGUAGGAGAUGGACAACUGGUUGAUAUUCCAGUACCGGCAGUGAUCGUUUGAACGAAGGAGUGACGCAGGAAGGCAGGUCCGCACGAGAUUGGUAGAUCGUGUGCAAGCGUGCAGGCUGGUUACCAGGCAAAUCCGGUAACUGAGGCUGAGGCGUGAUGCGGAGGGAACUUGUUCCCGAAGGGAUUGAGCCUACGCUGCCGAGAAAAGCUUCUAGUGAGAAAGCUGCCGCCCGUACCGUAAACCGACACAGGUAUGCGGGGAGAGAAUCCUAAGGUGCGCGGGAGAACCCUCGUUAAGGAACUCGGCAAAAUGUACCCGUAACUUCGGGAUAAGGGUAGCCACAAAGGUGAAGGGACUAGCUCCCGGAGCCCGGUGUGGUCGCAGAGAAGAGGCCCAAGCGACUGUUAACCAGAAACACAGGUGCCUGCGAAAGAGAAAUCUGAAGUAUAGGUGCUGACACCUGCCCAGUGCUGGAAGGUUAAAGAAGGAUGUCCGGGUUCGACCCAAAGCAUUCGACUGAAGCCCCAGUGAACGGCGGCCGUAACUAUAACGGUCCUAAGGUAGCGAAAUUCCUUGUCGGGUAAGUUCCGACCCGCACGAAAGGUGUAACGAUUUGGGCACUGUCUCAACGAGGGACCCGGUGAAAUUGAAAUACCUGUGAAGAUGCAGGUUACCCGCGACUGGACAGAAAGACCCCAUGGAGCUUUACUGUAACCUAAUAUUGGGUUCUGAUACUUGAUGCACAGGAUAGGUGGGAGGCAUGGAAGGCAGUCCUCUGGGAUUGCCGGAGCCGACGUUGGGAUACCACCCUUCAAUUAUCGGGAUUCUAACCGAGCGAGUAACGAUCGCCGGGACAGUGUUAGGCGGGCAGUUUGACUGGGGCGGUCGCCUCC